AGCAGCCGCGGUAAUUCCAGCUCCAAUAGCGUAUAUUAAAGUUGUUGCAGUUAAAAAGCUCGUAGUUGAAUUUCGGGGUCAGUAGGUUGGUCAUGCCUCCGGUAUGUACUGGUCUCACUGAUUCCUCCUUCCUGAUGAGCCGUAAUGCCAUUAAUUUGGUGUUGCGGGGAAUCUGGACUGUUACUUUGAAAAAUUAGAGUGUUUAAAGCAAGCUAACGCUUGAAUACAUUAGCAUGGAAUAAUGGAAUAGGACGUUCGAUCCUAUUUUGUUGGUUUCUAGGAUUGACGUAAUGAUUAAUAGGGAUAGUUGGGGGCAUUAGUAUUCAAUUGUCAGAGGUGAAAUUCUUGGAUUUAUUGAAGACUAACUACUGCGAAAGCAUUUGCCAAGGAUGUUUUCAUUAAUCAAGAACGAAAGUUAGGGGAUCGAAGACGAU
rnacentral:rRNA from 1 species